rnacentral:rRNA from 1 species
AAUACGUAGGGGGCGAGCGUUGUCCGGAUUCAUUGGGCGUAAAGCGCGCGUAGGCGGCUUCGCAAGUCGGCCGUGAAAUCUCCGGGCUCAACUCGGAGGGGUCGGGCGAGACUGCGGGGCUCGAGGUGGGCAGAGGGCAGUGGAAUUCCGGGUGUAGUGGUGGAAUGCGUAGAGAUCCGGAGGAACACCAGUGGCGAAGGCGGCUGCCUGGGCCUGGCCUGACGCUGAGGCGCGAAAGCGUGGGGAGCGAUCCGGA